rnacentral:snRNA from 12 species
CCCCUUACCUGCCGGAGGACAGACAGUGGUCAGGAAGGGGGUUCUCCCUGGACUAGGCUAGUCCACCGCACUUCGGCUGCGCUGACCCCUGCGAUUUCCCCACACGCGGGGCCCUCGUCUGCGGUGCUGUUCGCGCUACCCUGCGGCUGGGUUCGCGCA